UACGUAGGGUGCGAGCGUUAAUCGGAAUUACUGGGCGUAAAGCGUGCGCAGGCGGUUUUGUAAGCCAGAUGUGAAAUCCCCGGGCUUAACCUGGGAAUGGCAUUUGGGACUGCAAGGCUGGAGUGUGGCAGAGGAGACUGGAAUUCCUGGUGUAGCGGUGAAAUGCGCAGAUAUCAGGAGGAACACCAAUGGCGAAGGCAGCUCGCUGGGACGGUACUGACGCUGAGACGCGAAAGCGUGGGGAGCAAACAGG
rnacentral:rRNA from 1 species